CACGUAGGGCGCAAGCGUUGUCCGGAAUUAUUGGGGCGUAAAGAGCUCGUAGGCGGUCUGUUGCGUCCGCUGUGAAAACUCGGGGCUUAACCCCGAGCCUGCAGUGGAUACGGGCAGACUAGAGGUAGGUAGGGGGAGAAUGGAAUUCCCGGUGUAGCGGUGAAAUGCGCAGAUAUCAGGAGGAACACCGGUGGCGAAGGCGGAUCUCUGGGCCUGUUCUGACGCUGAGGCGCGAAAGCUAGGGGGAGCGAACAGG
rnacentral:rRNA from 1 species